GGAUGUGGCUCAGUGGUAAAAUCCUUGCCUAGCAUGCGUGAGGCCCUGGGUUCAAUCCACAGCACCA
rnacentral:tRNA from 1 species